AGUAGUUGCAAAACCUCACAAAGCACGCUCUGAGGAAGUCACCGAUGAGGAUCGUGACAUAAGUGGUCAGAACAUCAGAAACGAAAUGUUUUCUGUGGGUAAGGGAAGCCAGGAGUCCCCCCCAAGGAGCCACAGUCCAGUCUGGAACUGUACCUGAUCUCUUCAGCUUCCCUGGUUGACUUCUGCUGGAUGUCUAUAAUGCCUUGAGUUGACAAAGUUACCUUGGUGUGCAGUCGAUCAAGUUUGUCUUUCAGUAACCAUCUGUGGUACUUUGAAUGGGAAAUGUCCCCCGAAGAUCAUGCAUAUGAAGUUGUGAUCAGCCAGUUUCCUGUUCCUGCUGUCACACUUUUCCUGCCUGUUACCAUGGCUUCCCUGGCAUGAUGUGCUCUGUCCCUCUGAAACCACUUUCAUGGCACGAGAUGAAAGAGUUGGGACUAGCGACUAGAACAUCAAGGGGCUGGAGGCUGCAUUCAAUACCAAAGAAGGUUUCUGCCAUGCAGACUGCUGAACUUCUGGGUCCAGCUCCCAAGUUAGCUUUAGUUGCAGUUCCAAACAUCCUAUGACCUCUUCUGGCUUCAAUGACCACUUGCACACACGUGCCUGGUUUUGGUAUUUUGUUUGUUUGUUUUAUCUCACUUUCAAAAACAAAAUUUUAAAAGAUUAGCAUAAAAAAGAAUGGCAGAGAAACAUGAGAAAUCUAUGCGGACAUGAUAAGAAAUGGAGCAUCCGGGGCAGGUUGCCCUUCAGGCAAAGCUCUGAGCCUGCACCACAAAACCCCAUGUUAUGCAAGUAGGAGAUGUGAGAGACUGUCCUUUCCUUGAGGACUUUUUACCCCAGCUCACUAGCCUACUCCUGUUCUCAGGGAUUCUCCUUUUUAAUAAAUCAUCUCUGUUUCUACUUAUAA